AAUAGCAUUUAUGUUUCCAGCGAACACCAGCGUGGAGGUAACAGUCAUAGUUCACCUUGGCCAGAACUGAAGUUGAGUUGACUAACAGAACCGCCCUACAUACUGGCAGUGCCCUUACAGCUUUUGUUUUUAAUGUUGAUGGGUGGUAUGCGAGCACCCCCUCACCACAGUGAUAGCAACUAUAGUGGGUGAGCCAGUUUAGACGCUGACAACUCGUCAAUGAGGCAGGUUCCAUCUCGUUCGAAAAAGCCCGCGAAAAAUCUUAUAUUCCAUAUAAGUGUAUACUGUCAGUUUAAUCUAUGUCACUUCCGGUAAAAAAACUUCCGGUAAACUUUUGGAGCGUGUGAAAGAUCGUCAACUGAAAAGGUCAGUAUAGAUCACAAUACUCACAUGGACACCAGAGGAAUUAUCGUUUAUUCCUUUUUUUUUUCU